CCAGACUCCUACGGGAGGCAGCAGUGGGGAAUAUUGGACAAUGGGGGGAACCCUGAUCCAGCGACGCCGCGUGAGUGAAGAAGUAUUUCGGUAUGUAAAGCUCUAUCAGCAGGGAAGAAAGAAAUGACGGUACCUGACUAAGAAGCCCCGGCUAACUACGUGCCAGCAGCCGCGGUAAUACGUAGGGGGCAAGCGUUAUCCGGAUUUACUGGGUGUAAAGGGGGCGCAGACGGCAGCGCAAGCCAGGAGUGAAAGCCCGGGGCCCAACCCCGGGACUGCUCUUGGAACUGCGCGGCUGGAGUGCAGGAGGGGCAGGCGGAAUUCCUGGUGUAGCGGUGAAAUGCGUAGAUAUCAGGAGGAACACCAGUGGCGAAGGCGGCUUACUGGACUGUAACUGACGUUGAGGCUCGAAAGCGUGGGGAGCAAACAGGAUUAGAUACCCUGGUA
rnacentral:rRNA from 1 species